UACAGAGGUCCCAAGCGUUGUUCGGGUUCAUUGGGCGUAAAGGGUGCGUAGGCGGCGCGGUAAGUCGGGUGUGAAAUCUCGGAGCUUAACUCCGAAACUGCAUUCGAUACUGCGGUGCUUGAGGACUGGAGAGGAGACUGGAAUUCAUGGUGUAGCAGUGAAAUGCGUAGAGAUCAUGAGGAAGACCAGUGGCGAAGGCGGGUCUCUGGACAGUUCCUGACACUGAGACACGAAGGCCAGGGGAGCAAACGGG
rnacentral:rRNA from 1 species